rnacentral:rRNA from 1 species
GAUGAACGCUGGCGGCGUGCUUAACACAUGCAAGUCGAACGAUGAAGCCCAGCUUGCUGGGUGGAUUAGUGGCGAACGGGUGAGUAACACGUGAGUAACCUGCCCUUAACUCUGGGAUAAGCCUGGGAAACUGGGUCUAAUACCGGAUAGGAGCGUCCACCGCAUGGUGGGUGUUGGAAAGAUUUAUCGGUUUUGGAUGGACUCGCGGCCUAUCAGCUUGUUGGUGAGGUAAUGGCUCACCAAGGCGACGACGGGUAGCCGGCCUGAGAGGGUGACCGGCCACACUGGGACUGAGAGACGGCGCAGACUCCUACGGGAGGCAGCAGUGGGGAAUAUUGCACAAUGGGCGCAAGCCUGAUGCAGCGACGCCGCGUGAGGGAUGACGGCCUUCGGGUUGUGAACCUCUUUCAGUAGAGAAGAAGCGAAAGUGACGGUACCUGCAGAAGAAGCACCGGCUAACUACGUG